rnacentral:sRNA from 1 species
ACACGUGAAGGGAGGUGGUCCGAAGUUGUAUAGCAACGGGACUCGUGAGGUGGCUGUCCGCUAGCCGCUGUCCUCGACAGCUUCGUCUUGAGAACGUCGAGACCGUGUGGCAACGGCCCGGCGAGUAACAGACAGCCAUCCGACCCCCGGGGAUCCGGCCUUGUCCGACCGGACCACGUUCGUUCGCGAGCGUGGAAGAUCCCCCGGGGGUCGCCUAAU